rnacentral:lncRNA from 1 species
AUGGACGCUGCCGUGGCUGGCGUGGGGUCGUGACCUGGUUCCGCUGUCUGCCACAGUCGGUCUGAGGCCACCUUGACUUUUGUUCCUAUGAAGGCAGAGCAUGGACGUAUCUUACGAGAAAAACGUUGGUGCUCAUUGUUCCCUGUAAAGCGUGACUAACGAGAUGGACGUCUGGAUGGACCGCCAGCGGGCUCCUCGGCAGUGUGGCCUCUGCCAGGCGUCUGGAUGCUCUUUGCAUUGAGGAGCUGGUCUCCGGGAUGGUGAAUUCUCACCCUGAAACUGGAUGUGGAUUUUAGAACGAGCCAAAGGAGAUUUGGUGCUAAGUUCCGGUGAGGGGACCAGGUGGGUCCAGAGCGCGUCGAGACCAGGCGGAGUUCCUCGGGAGCACAGGCUGAGGGCCG